rnacentral:lncRNA from 1 species
UAUAUGUGCUAGAGCAGAAGGUUGACUAGACCCUAAGUAUAUGUAUUAGGGCUAGCCGGAUGAACUCUAAUCAUAUGUAUUAGAGUCCGAAUGAAGUUGAUAUCAUUUGACCGAAUUCUAAGUAUAUGGCUUAGAACUCUGUCGAUUUGGAGAUGCUUUGCCUUAGUUAUAUGUACUAAGGCGAUUGACUUAGCCCUAAGUAUAUGUAUUAGGGGUAGUCGAUAUUUAAUUUCUACUCUAGGUAUGUGUGCCAGAGCAAAAAAAAAGGUUCACGAUGAGAUUUGGGUAUUGGUUCAUGAGAUUUGAGUAUUGGCUUAUGAGAUUUGGUUCAUGAAUUUGGAUAUGAUUCAAGAAUUUAGUGUAUGGACUUGGUUCAUGAACUUGGAUAUGGUUCAUGGGUUUGGUGUAUGGAUUUGAUUCAUGAACUUGGAUAUGGUUCAUGGGUUUGGUGUAUGAAUUUGGUUCAUGAACUUGAAUUUGGUUCAUGAACUUGGAUAUGGUUCAUGGAUUUGGUAUAUGGAUAUGAACUUUGAUAUGGUUCAUGGGUUUGGAUAUGGUUCAUGGAUUUGGUGUAUGGAUUUGGUUCAUGGUUCAGGAAAUUUGGGUUUAGUUUAACGACUUUUCGGUCGUUUGGAUUUGUGUUUAGUUUAACGACUUUUCGGUCGUUUGAAAUUUGGGUUUAGUUUAGCGACAUUUCGGUCCUUUGAAUAUGGAUUUAGUUUAGCGACAUUUCGGUCGUUGAAAUAUGGAUUUAGUUUAACGACUUUUCGGUCGACUGAGUUUAGGCUUUGGGAUUUUAUUUGUGGACUUUGGUUUUGGGAUUUAUUUGUGGACUUUGGAUUUUGGGAUUUAUUUGUGGACUUUAGGUUUUGGGAUUUAUUUGUGGAUUUUGGUUUUGGGUUGGUUUAAACCUCUUGUAUUUGAUUUGGGAUGAACCACCUUAGGUUUGUUUAGUCAUUCGGG